CAUAAGUAAACAUAGGUAGUUGCAAAUUUUAACACAAAUUUGAGGAAAGUCCGGGCUCUAAUUAGUAUAAAGUAUAGCUGUAUAAACAACAGUAUAGGCGACUAUAAGGAAAGUGCCACAGAAAAAAACCGCCUAAUUUAUUGUAAUACAUAUAAAGGUAAGGGUGCAAAGGUGCAGUAAAAGCGUACCAGAAGUAUAAAUGACAAUACUUGCUAGGCAAACCCCAUCUAAGAGCAAAGUAAUAAACUUUACAUUUAUUAUAUCUAUCAUCAAAUAAGUAAUUGUAUUUUAUGGUUUAUAUUCAUUACUGCAAAGAAGUUUAUAUGUAAAUAUAAAACAAAGAUUAAUAACUACCCUUAAUACAUUUAAGUUUUGUAAAAAACAAAUAAAUCUUAAAACUAUUAAGAACAAAAUCCGGCUUAUGCUUUACUUCAUAU
rnacentral:RNase_P_RNA from 1 species